rnacentral:lncRNA from 1 species
GGCUGAGCAGUGAGAAAGAGAGAGCAAUCCAUUACUUAAUCUUGCUGCCAUUCCAAGAUUGUUCCCUGCAGUAAAUUUUACAGCAGUUUGUCCAGGUUGGUUUUAAAACAUUCAAGUGAUGAGACUUCCACCAGUUUACUUGGGGGAGCUGUUUUACAGGCUAACAGACAUCACCAUUAGCACUAUUUCUUGUCACAUGCAUCAGCGGCUCUCCCAUAAAUAAUUGUUAACACUACAGCUACUCUAUGGGACCAGGAAAGGCAAAGGAAUACAAAUUGGGAGUCAAUAUUCAGAUGAAUAAGGAGAGGGAAAAAAAAAAAAAAAGAAUAAAAAUGUUUGGCUGCUCUGGGAACAUACAGGACUGAGCUGGUUUAUGAGCACUUGAGAAGGUGAAGAAGAGAUAACUGGUUACCCUGAAGAAAAGAGAAUUCAUCUGAUAGAGUUCAGUCACAGAGAGUUGCUGAGUUUGGCUAUGCCACCACAGCACACCUCUAAGUAAUUUACCUAAUGUAUAUAAUGGGGUAAAAGUCUAAUGAGGAAAGCCACUGCAGAGCAGCUUGGAGUCUUCUCUAUUAUGUCUGUUUAAUAUAUGGAAAUGGAUAUAUGACCAAGUGAGUAAUGUCUAAUUUUUUGUACCUCAGAUUAUUCUACUGAAAAGUCAUUUUCUGUUCCACAAUUUUUUUUUUUCUUUUGCAGAUGUCAGCAUCUGAAAAUAUGGGUGCAAGCUUGCAAUCCUGGAUGCAGUAAGAUCUGCAGUGUUCUGCACAAAGGAGAAAAGAACCUGACAUUCUACUUGGCAGCUAUAGUAAAUGGGGUUACCUUCCUUACAGUCUUCUCUGUACUCCCUUUCCUGGGACAACCAAGUAGCAGUGGUUGAUGGAGCUUAUCUUCCGUGAAGGAGUACAGCACUCCAGACUUCAGAAUAUUUCAAAGGAACUCGAUGGAAUCUUCUCCUUUAUCAAAGAGCUUGAAGGAAUUAUCUCCCCUGCCUCCUAAAACUGCAGGAUCCAACUGACUAACCUGACACUGUGGAGCAGCCUCCUUCAGCAAGGUAUUUAGUUCUGUGAUGGUGUCCUCCUUCACAGUAGAAGAAAUGUAGCUGCUCAUCGGUUUCUUGCCUGUUACAGCUCUGGGGUCACACUGGGCUAGGAUCUGGACCUCAGAUCAUCCUGACUCCUGAAACUACUUGUUACUGGCUGUCAUUACUCCUCCA